rnacentral:rRNA from 1 species
UACGGAGGGUGCAAGCGUUGUUCGGAAUCAUUGGGCGUAAAGCGCGUGUAGGCGGCUUGGCAAGUCCGUUGUGAAAGCCCGGGGCCCAACCCCGGAACUGCAUCUGAAACUGCCUGGCUAGAGUCCCGGAGAGGAAGGCAGAAUUCCCGGUGUAGGGGUGAAAUCCGUAGAUAUGCGGAGGAACACCGAUGGCGAAGGCAAUCCCCUGGGCCUGCACUGACGCUCAUGCACGAAAGCGUGGGGAGCAAACAGG